rnacentral:rRNA from 1 species
UACGAAGGGGGCUAGCGUUGCUCGGAUUGACUGGGCGUAAAGGGCGCGUAGGCGGUUUGCAUAGUCAGACGUGGAAUUCCUGGGCUUAACCUGGGGGCUGCGUUUGAUACAUGCAGGCUUGAGUUCGGAAGAGGGUCGUGGAAUUCCCAGUGUAGAGGUGAAAUUCGUAGAUAUUGGGAAGAACACCGGUGGCGAAGGCGGCGACCUGGUCCGAUACUGACGCUGAGGCGCGAAAGCGUGGGGAGCAAACAGG